rnacentral:rRNA from 1 species
CCUACGGGAGGCAGCAGUGAGGAAUAUUGGUCAAUGGGCGCGAGCCUGAACCAGCCAAGUCGCGUGAGGGAAGACGGUCCUAUGGAUUGUAAACCUCUUUUGUCGGGGAGCAAAAGACGCCACGCGUGGCGUUCCGAGAGUACCCGAAGAAAAAGCAUCGGCUACCUCCGUGCCAGCAGCCGCGGUAAUACGGAGGAUGCGAGCGUUAUCCGGAUUUAUUGGGUUUAAAGGGUGCGCAGGCGGAAGAUCAAGUCAGCGGGAAAAUUGAGAGGCUCAACCUCUUCGAGCCGUUUAAACUGGUUUUCUUGAGGGAGUGAGAAGUAUGCGGAAUGCGUGGUGUAGCGGUGAAAUGCAUAGAUAUCACGCAGAACUCCGAUUGCGAAGGCAGCAUACCGGCGCUCAACUGACGCUCAUGCACGAAAGUGUGGGUAUCGAACAGGAUUAGAUACCCGUGUAGUC